rnacentral:rRNA from 1 species
GCAAGAUUAAAACUCAAAGGAAUAGACGGGGACCCGCACAAGUGGUGGAGCAUGUGGUUUAAUUCGAAGAUACGCGAAGAACCUUACCUAGCCUUGACAUUGAUAGAAUCUUCCAGAGAUGGAGGAGUGCCUUUCGGGGAACUUGAAAACAGGUGCUGCACGGCUGUCGUCAGCUCGUGUCGUGAGAUGUUGGGUUAAGUCCCGCAACGAGCGCAACCCUCGUCACUAGUUACUAACAGUUAGGCUGAGGACUCUAGUGAGACUGCCUUCGUAAGGAGGAGGAAGGUGAGGACGACGUCAAGUCAUCAUGGCCCUUACGGCUAGGGCAACACACGUGCUACAAUGGUUAGGACAGUGAGAAGCGAUACCGCGAGGUGGAGCCAAUCUAUAAACCUAAUCUCAGUUCGGAUUGUAGUCUGCAACUCGACUACAUGAAGCUGGAAUUACUAGUAAUCGUAGAUCAGCUAUGCUACGGUGAAUACGUUCCCGGGUCUUGUACUCACCGCCCGUCACACCAUGGGAGUUGAUUUCACCCGAAGCGGGGAAGCUAAACUGGCUACCCUCCACGGUGGAAUUAGCGACUGGGGUGAAGUCGUAACAAGGUA